GAUGAAGAACGCAGCAAAAUGCGAUAAGUAAUGCGAAUUGCAGAAUUUCCGUGAGUCAUCGAAUCUUUGAACGCACAUUGCGCCCGCCAGUAUUCUGGCGGGCAUGCCUGUUCGAGCGUCAUUACAACCCUCAGGCCCCCGGGCCUGGCGUUGGGGAUCGGCGGAAGCCCCCUGCGGGCACAACGCCGUCCCCCAAAUACAGUGGCGGUCCCGCCGCAGCUUCCAUUGCGUAGUAGCUAACACCUCGCAACUGGAGAGCGGCGCGGCCACGCCGUAAAACACCCAACUUCUGAAUGUUGACCUCGAAUCAGGUAGGAAUACCCGCUGAACUUAAGCAUAUCAAUAAGCGGAGGA
rnacentral:misc_RNA from 1 species